CUGGGGAGAGUCAUUUGAAAGAUUCUUAUAAACAAGCCUGUCUUUGAUCAGACCACCGAUGCAAUCAAGCAGAAAUGUAGUUGAAUGAAAGGCUAUCUACACACCAAGCAGAGACAAAGGACACCUGGAAGUAAUUUGGAAAAGAUCCCUCAAGAUUUAUCAUCUGAGCCAUGGUGGCGCAGUGGUUAAAAUGCAGAAUUGCAGGCUAAUUCUGCUGACUGCCAGGAGUUCAAUUCUGAUCAUCUCAAGGUUGAGCUAGCCGUCCAUCCUUUCGAGGUCGGUAAAAUGAGGAUCCAGAUAGUUGAGGGCAAUAUGCUGACUCUGUAAACCACUUAAAGAGGGCUGAAAAACACUGUGAAGUGGUAUGUAAGUCUACUGAUUGGCUGGAGGUCAGAAAUGAAGU